ACCCGCUUCUAUGCCAUCUGCGCUUUCGCCAUAUCGCUUAUCACACUGCAUUGUAUGUACAUACAACGUAUGCGCCACGAUCGAUUGCUAUUAAUUGUACCAUAUGUAUCAUCGGACGAAUAAAAUCAUUGAUGUAUCGUGGAUAACACUUUCAGUCUUGGGAUAUGGAACGUUUCCGAUUCGCUGCUGCUUCCAUAUGUUGCGUUUACAUUGCGCGCGCUCGGUAUAAGAAUUGCAUCCAAUACGCAACGCGCAAUCCUAAUCCGCUGUAGUUAAUUGCCUAAAAACAAAAUUUUUUAAGGGAAAGUUGUAUGAAAUACGCUAUUUAAAUGACUCUGGAAUAUUGGUGUAUAUAUAACGUCUUUACUAAAAUCGAUUGUGUCCGUGUAUGUAAGUUACACGUAAAGUAGAAAGAGAGAGAAACAGGGUCAAGUCAAUAUUGCAACAUUCCGGACACUAAAGAUCGUGUUUCAAUCAGAUAAUUCAGAACAUUCGUUUCACGAACACUCUAUUUCAUCAAGACGAAAAGUAAUCUAAUAACAACUUCAACAGUAGUUUUGCUGAUAAACUCUGGCAAUUAAACCAUAUAAAGGUCUUGACAUAAGGAAAAAA